ensembl:miRNA
CACGGGUUGCAGCAAUACUACGUGAAACUGAAGGACAACGAGAAGAACCGGAAGCUCUUUGACCUUCUCGAUGUCCUUGAGUUCAACCAGGUCAAUAUUGAGGGUCUGUGUGGUC